rnacentral:misc_RNA from 1 species
UCUCCGUUGGUGAACCAGCGGAGGGAUCAUUACCGAGUUUACAACUCCCAAACCCCUGUGAGCAUACCUAUCGUUGCCUCGGCGGUGCCCGCUCCGGCGGCCCGCCAGAGGACCCCCAAACUCUUGUUUUAUACAGUAUCUUCUGAGUAACACGAUUAAAUAAAUCAAAACUUUCAACAACGGAUCUCUUGGUUCUG